rnacentral:rRNA from 1 species
AGCGAACGCUGGCGGCAGGCCUAACACAUGCAAGUCGAACGAACCUUUCGGGGUUAGUGGCGGACGGGUGAGUAACACGUGGGAACGUGCCUUUAGGUUCGGAAUAACUCAGGGAAACUUGUGCUAAUACCGAAUAUGCCCUUCGGGGGAAAGAUUUAUCGCCUUUAGAGCGGCCCGCGUCUGAUUAGCUAGUUGGUUGAGGUAAUGGCUCACCAAGGCGACGAUCAGUAGCUGGUCUGAGAGGAUGAUCAGCCACAUUGGGACUGAGACACGGCCCAAACUCCUACGGGAGGCAGCAGUGGGGAAUCUUGCGCAAUGGGCGAAAGCCUGACGCAGCCAUGCCGCGUGAAUGAUGAAGGUCUUAGGAUUGUAAAAUUCUUUCACCGGGGACGAUAAUGACGGUACCCGGAGAAGAAGCCCCGGCUAACUUCGUG